rnacentral:rRNA from 1 species
AUUGAACGCUGGCGGCAUGCUUUACACAUGCAAGUCGAACGGUAACAGGGAGCUUGCUCCGCUGACGAGUGGCGAACGGGUGAGUAAUGCGUCGGAACGUGCCGAGUAGUGGGGGAUAACGCAUCGAAAGGUGGGCUAAUACCGCAUACGAACUGAGGUUGAAAGUGGGGGACCUUCGGGCCUCACGCUAUUCGAGCGGCCGACGUCUGAUUAGCUAGUUGGGGCGGUAAAGGCUCACCAAGGCGACGAUCAGUAGCGGGUCUGAGAGGAUGAUCCGCCACACUGGGACUGAGACACGGCCCAGACUCCUACGGGAGGCAGCAGUGGGGAAUUUUGGACAAUGGGCGCAAGCCUGAUCCAGCCAUGCCGCGUGUCUGAAGAAGGCCUUCGGGUUGUAAAGGACUUUUGUCCGUGAGCAAAUGCUGGUGGCUAACAUCCACCGGAGCUGAGAGUACCGGAAGAAUAAGCACCGGCUAACUACGUGCCAGCAGCCGCCGUAAUAC